AGGGCACCACCAGGAGUGGAGCCUGCGGCUUAAUUUGACUCAACACGGGAAAACUCACCCGGCCCGGACACUGGAAGGAUUGACAGAUUGAGAGCUCUUUCUUGAUUCAGUGGGUGGUGGUGCAUGGCCGUUCUUAGUUGGUGGAGUGAUUUGUCUGGUUAAUUCCGAUAACGAACGAGACUCUAGCCUAUUAAAUAGAUCGUUGGCUUACAAACGCCGGCGAGACUUCUUAGAGGGACAGGCGGCGAUUCAGCCGCACGAAACAGAGCAAUAUCUUUGUCUGUGAUGCCCUUAGAUGUCCGGGGCCGCACGCGCGCUACACUGAAGUGAUCAGCGUGCAUUUUGAAACCUACUCUGUCAAGAGUGGGGAACCCAAUGAACCUUCUUCGUGAUUGGGAUAGGGGAUUGUAAUUAUUCCCCUUGAACGAGGAAUUCCCAGUAAGCGCGAAUCAUAAGUUUGCGCUGAUUACGUCCCUGCCCUUUGUACACACCGCCCGUCGCUACUACCGAUUGAAUGUU
rnacentral:rRNA from 1 species